GAAAGUCAUGAAGUUCAGGAUCCCCGAUGGAGUAACACCCAAGGCAACAACACCCAAGGCAGCAGCAAAGGCAGCAGCACCCAAGGCAGCAGCAAAGGCAGCAGCACCCAAGGCAGCACGGAAGGCAGCAGCAACCAAGGCAGCAGCAAGCAAGGUAACACCCAAGGCAGCAACACCCAAGGCACCCAAGGCAGCAGCACCCAAGGCAGCAACCAAGGCAGCAGCAAGCAAGGCAACACCCAAGGCAGCAGUAACCAAGGCAACCAAGGCAGCAACACCCAAGGCGGCAACCAAGGCAACCAAGGCAGCAACACCCAAGGCGGCAACCAAGGCAGCAGCACCCAAGGCGGCAACCAAGGCAGCA
rnacentral:lncRNA from 1 species